rnacentral:tRNA from 1 species
CGUUCGGUGGCUCAGUUGGUUAGAGCGCCUCUCUGAUACGGAGGAGAUCGGUGGUUCGACUCCACCCCGAACGACCA